CCGCGUGUGUGAAGAAGGCCUUCGGGUUGUAAAGCACUUUCAGUCGUGAGGAAGGUGGUGUAGUUAAUAGCUGCAUUAUUUGACGUUAGCGACAGAAGAAGCACCGGCUAACUCCGUGCCAGCAGCCGCGGUAAUACGGAGGGUGCGAGCGUUAAUCGGAAUUACUGGGCGUAAAGCGCAUGCAGGUGGUUUGUUAAGUCAGAUGUGAAAGCCCGGGGCUCAACCUCGGAAUAGCAUUUGAAACUGGCAGACUAGAGUACUGUAGAGGGGGGUAGAAUUUCAGGUGUAGCGGUGAAAUGCGUAGAGAUCUGAAGGAAUACCGGUGGCGAAGGCGGCCCCCUGGACAGAUACUGACACUCAGAUGCGAAAGCGUGGGGAGCAAACAGGAUUAGAUACCCUGGUAGUCCACGCCGUAAACGAUGUCUACUUGGAGGUUGUGGCCUUGAGCCGUGGCUUUCGGAGCUAACGCGUUAAGUAGACCGCCUGGGGAGUACGGUCGCAAGAUUAAAACUCAAAUGAAUUG
rnacentral:rRNA from 1 species